GAUGAACGCUAGCGGCAGGCCUAAUACAUGCAAGUCGAACGGUGUCUUCGGACAUAGUGGCGCACGGGUGCGUAACACGUAUGCAACCUACCUUACAUUGGGGGAUAGCCUUUCGAAAGGGAGAUUAAUACCGCAUAAGACAGUAGCUGGGGAUCCAGCAGCUGUUAAAGAUUUAUCGAUGUAUGCUGGGCAUGCGUCCAAUUAGCUAGUUGGUGAGGUAACGGCUCACCAAGGCAAUGAUUGGUAGGGGAACUGAGAGGUCAAUCCCCCACACUGGCACUGAGAUACGGGCCAGACUCCUACGGGAGGCAGCAGUAGGGAAUAUUGGGCAAUGGACGCAAGUCUGACCCAGCCAUGCCGCGUGCAGGAUGAAGUCGUUAUGCGUUGUAAACUGCUUUUAUACAGGAAGAAACGACUCUUGCGAGAGGCAUUGACGGUACUGUAUGAAUAAGCACCGGCUAACUCUGUGCCAGCCGCCGCAGUAAAAC
rnacentral:rRNA from 1 species